rnacentral:rRNA from 1 species
UNUGACUUGAGUGCAGAAGGGGAGAGUGGAAUUCCAUGUGUAGCGGUGAAAUGCGUAGAUAUAUGGAGGAACACCAGUGGCGAAAGCGGCUCUCUGGUCUGUCACUGACGCUGAGGCUCGAAAGCGUGGGUAGCGAACAGGAUUAGAUACCCUGGUAGUCCACGCCGUAAACGAUGAGUGCUAGGUGUUAGGCCCUUUCCGGGGCUUAGUGCCGGAGCUAACGCAAUAAGCACUCCGCCUGGGGAGUACGACCGCAAGGUUGAAACUCAAAGGAAUUGACGGGGGCCCGCACAAGCGGUGGAGCAUGUGGUUUAAUUCGAAGCAACGCGAAGAACCUUACCAGGUCUUGACAUCCCGAUGCUAUUCUUAGAGAUAGGAAGUUACUUCGGUACAUCGGAGACAGGUGGUGCAUGGUUGUCGUCAGCUCGUGUCGUGAGAUGUUGGGUUAAGUCCCGCAACGAGCGCAACCCUUAUUGUUAGUUGCCAUCAUUAAGUUGGGCACUCUAGCGAGACUGCCGGUAAUAAACCGGAGGAAGGUGGGGAUGACGUCAAAUCAUCAUGCCCCUUAUGACCUGGGCUACACACGUGCUACAAUGGUCGGUACAACGAGUUGCGAGCCGGUGACGGCAAGCUAAUCUCUGAAAGCCGAUCUCAGUUCGGAUUGGAGGCUGCAACUCGCCUCCAUGAAGUCGGAAUCGCUAGUAAUCGCGGAUCAGCACGCCGCGGUGAAUACGUUCCCGGGCCUUGUACACACC